AACGAACGCUGGCGGCAUGCCUAACACAUGCAAGUCGAACGAGAUCUUCGGGUCUAGUGGCGCACGGGUGCGUAACGCGUGGGAAUCUGCCCUUUGGUUCGGAAUGACAGUUGGAAACGACUGCUAAUACCGGAUGAUGACGAAAGUCCAAAGAUUUAUCGCCAGAGGAUGAGCCCGCGUAGGAUUAGCUAGUUGGUGUGGUAAAGGCGCAACAAGGCGACGAUCCUUAGCUGGUCUGAGAGGAUGAUCAGCCACACUGGGACUGAGACACGGCCCAGACUCCUACGGGAGGCAGCAGUGGGGAAUAUUGGACAAUGGGCGAAAGCCUGAUCCAGCAAUGCCGCGUGAGUGAUGAAGGCCUUAGGGUUGUAAAGCUCUUUUACCCGGGAUGAUAAUGACAGUACCGGGAGAAUAAGCUCCGGCUAACUCCGUGCCAGCCGCCGCCGUAA
rnacentral:rRNA from 1 species